rnacentral:rRNA from 1 species
GAGUGAUCAAGUGUCUUAAGGGCAUUUGGUGGAUGCCUUGGCAUGCACAGGCGAUGAAGGACGUGAUACGCUGCGAUAAGCGUCGGGGAGGUGCGAAUACCCUUUGAUCCGACGAUUUCCGAAUGGGGCAACCCACCUUAGAUAGCUAGAAAAUCUGAAUUGUUGGCGCGCAAGCAAGAACAGUUCAACUUUCUAGUUAUCGUAAUAAGGUAUCUACACCUGAAUACAUAGGGUGUUAGAAGCGAACCUGGGGAACUGAAACAUCUAAGUACCCAGAGGAAAGGACAUCAAACGAGACUCCGCUAGUAGUGGCGAGCGAACGCGGACCAGGCCAGUGGCUUAUAUGAGUAAAGUGGAACAACUUGGAAAAGUUGGCUAGAGUGGGUGAUAGCCCCGUACACGCAACACGAUUAUAAGUCCUUGAGUAGGGCGGGACACGUGAAAUCCUGUCUGAACAUGGGUCGACCACGAUCCAAGCCUAAGUACUCGUGCAUGACCGAUAGCGAACCAGUACCGUGAGGGAAAGGUGAAAAGCACCCCGACGAGGGGAGUGAAAUAGUACCUGAAACCGAAUGCCUACAAACAGUUGGAGCCCAAGGUUCGUCCUGGGUGACAGCGUACCUUUUGUAUAAUGGGUCAGCGACUUAGUCUGACGAGCAAGCUUAAGCCGGUAGGUGUAGGCGCAGCGAAAGCGAGUCUGAACAGGGCGUUCAGUUCGUCGGAUUAGACCCGAAACCAAGUGAUCUAGCCAUGAGCAGGUUGAAGGUACGGUAACACGUACUGGAGGACCGAACCCAUAUCUGUUGCAAUAGAUCGGGAUGACUUGUGGCUAGGGGUGAAAGGCCAAUCAAACUUGGAGAUAGCUGGUUCUCCGCGAAAUCUAUUUAGGUAGAGCGUCCAGCGAAUACCCCCGGGGGUAGAGCACUGAAUGGGCUAUGGGGACUCACCGUCUUACUGAUCCUAAUCAAACUCCGAAUACCGGGGAGUACUACUGGGCAGACACACGGCGGGUGCUAACGUCCGUCGUGAAGAGGGCAACAACCCUGACCACCAUCUAAGGUCCCUAAGUUAUGGCUAAGUGGGAAAGGAUGUGAGGAUCCCAAAACAACCAGGAUGUUGGCUUAGAAGCAGCCAUCAUUUAAAGAAAGCGUAACAGCUCACUGGUCUAAAUAAGGGUCUUUGCGCCGAAAAUGUACCGGGGCUAAAGCCAUACACCGAAGCUGUGGAUGCACGUAUGUGCGUGGUAGCGGAGCGUUCCGUAAGCCUGUGAAGGGACAGUCGUGAGACAUCCUGGAGGUAUCGGAAGUGAGAAUGCUGACAUGAGUAACGAUAAAGGGAGUGAGAGACUCCCUCGCCGAAAGUCCAAGGGUUCCUGCUUAAAGUUAAUCUGAGCAGGGUUAGCCGGCCCCUAAGGCGAGGCCGAAAGGCGUAGUCGAUGGGAACCACGUUAAUAUUCGUGGGCCUGCAGGUAGUGACGGAUCGCGUGUGUUGUAAGGUCUUAUUGGAUUGAUCUUGCAGCGAAGCGGUUCCAGGAAAUAGCUCCUGCAUAUAGACCGUACCCUAAACCGACACUGGUGGACUGGUAGAGAAUACCAAGGCGCUUGAGAGAACUGCGUUGAAGGAACUCGGCAAAAUGCACGCGUAACUUCGGAAGAAGCGUGACCUCCAUUUAGGCAACUAGGUGGGGGUGGCACAGACCAGGGGGUAGCGACUGUUUACCAAAAACACAGGGCUCUGCGAAGUCGCAAGACGACGUAUAGGGUCUGACGCCUGCCCGGUGCUGGAAGGUUAAGAGGAGAUGUGCAAGCAUUGAAUUGAAGCCCCAGUAAACGGCGGCCGUAACUAUAACGGUCCUAAGGUAGCGAAAUUCCUUGUCGGGUAAGUUCCGACCUGCACGAAUGGCGUAACGACUUCCCCGCUGUCUCCAACGCAGACUCAGUGAAAUUGAAUUCCCCGUGAAGAUGCGGGGUUCCUGCGGUUAGACGGAAAGACCCCGUGCACCUUUACUAUAGCUUUACACUGGCAUUCGUGUCGGCAUGUGUAGGAUAGGUGGUAGACUUUGAAGCAGUGGCGCCAGCCAUUGUGGAGUCAUCCUUGAAAUACCACCCUUGCCUAUAUGGAUGUCUAACUGCGGCCCGUUAUCCGGGUCCAGGACCGUGUAUGGUGGGUAGUUUGACUGGGGCGGUCGCCUCCUAAAGAGUAACGGAG